rnacentral:rRNA from 1 species
AUUGAACGCUGGCGGCAGGCUUAACACAUGCAAGUCGAGCGGGGUGAUGGUGCUUGCACUAUCACUUAGCGGCGGACGGGUGAGUAAUGCUUAGGAAUCUGCCUAUUAGUGGGGGACAACAUCUCGAAAGGGAUGCUAAUACCGCAUACGUCCUACGGGAGAAAGCAGGGGAUCACUUGUGACCUUGCGCUAAUAGAUGAGCCUAAGUCGGAUUAGCUAGUUGGUGGGGUAAAGGCCUACCAAGGCGACGAUCUGUAGCGGGUCUGAGAGGAGGAUCCGCCACACUGGGACGGAGACACGGCCCAGACUCCUACGGGAGGCAGCAGUGGGGAAUAUUGGACAAGGGGGGGAACCCUGAUCCAGCCAUGCCGCGUGUGUGAAGAAGGCCUUAUGGUUGUAAAGCACUUUAAGCGAGGAGGAGGCUCUUAUGGUUAAUACCCAAGAUGAGUGGACGUUACUCGCAGAAUAAGCACCGGCUAACUCUGUGCCAGCCGCCGCCGUAA